UGACGUCAAGCUAAUGAAAAUCCUUCAAACUAUUAUCCAAGAUGGCGUCUCGACAUUUUUAUCCUAUCGUGCUUUCUCGUCUGUUUUCUUAUGGAUCGGCUGCAGCCAUGACACCAACCGGCACUUAAGUGAAUUAGAUUCACCUGUAUUGCUUUAUUGGAUCUGCACAAUUUUCUUCGAGUAUACAAAAUUGUUUUUUAUGUUAAAUCUUUCAAUUCGAUCUUAGCAUCCCACUCGAAUGAUGUAUUUCGGUACCUAUGAUCUAAUGUGAUGCGGCAAAAGUUUUGACCAAAAUACAAGUCUUUUGCUGUA